UUCGCAAGGAUGGAGGACAUUCAACAGAAUCAGUAUGCAAUCAAGCAUGGAAUGGAUUCCAGAUAGGAAUAUAGGAUUCACCUUACACUCAGAAACUGGGGGAUAGGCCUAGUUGUUCAAAAUACACGGCGUUGCUGCAUGGACUUGAAGAGAUAGUUAUGAAUGUAGAAUAUCAUCAAGUGACUUUUAAUAAGGCACUGUUUUCAGUGGAUGAACCGACAUCAUGCAGUGUGACAGGAAAACGCCCGUGAGACCAAAGAUGGCUUAGAUAAAAGGGAAGACGAUGCAGAAGGUGCAUAUAUACAAGUUCAAGACAUAGAUAUUUUAAAUUUUGCAUGAUGUUCAUUUACAAAACCUGUUAUGCAACCUCUCAAAUAAUUCAUUAUGCUAUCUUUUAAGCCUCUGUACCAGAGAAAAAUCCAGAGAUGGCCCUCAAAGAAGUUAGAAACAAGAUGAGAGACCGUCUCAAGUUGUUUAGGUCUGGAGCCACCUUCCCCCACCCACGAGUCGAAGAAAUAGAUCUUUGAACCAGGUUACCAGUGACAUCAAGAUAAACAAAAUUCAACUUGAGGGACAAUUUGAUAAUACCUGUUUAAAAAAUUUUUUUUAGCUCACCUGGGCCAAAGGUUCAAGUGAGCUUUUCUGAUCAAAAUUUGUUCGUUGUCUGUCGUCGACGAAAACUUUUCACAUUUUCAUCUUCUCCAGAACCACUGGGUCAAUUUCAACCAAACUAAGUGACACAAAGCACCCUUGGGUGAAAGGCUUUCAAGUUUGUUCAAAUGAAGGGCCAUGCCCCUUAAAAGGGGAGAUAAUCGCAAAAAUACGGUGGGGUCAUUCAAAAAUCUUCUCAAGAACCACUGGGACAGAGAAGCUGAAAUUUACAUAAAAGCCUCCUGACAUAGUACAGAUUCAAGUUUGUUAAAACCAAUGACCGGGGGGGAUUGGGUCUCAAUAGGGGAUCAAAGUUUUACUUACAAAUAUACAGGGAAAAUCUUUAUGAAAAUUGUCUUCUCAAGAAACACUUGGCCAGAAAAGCUGAGAUUUACAUGAAAGCUUCCCGACAUAGUGUAGACUCAAGUUUGUAAAAUUCACAGGGUUGUCACUAACGCAAGAAUAGGAUCACAGAAAUUUCAUUGGGGUUUGUCUGAUAUGGCGAGUCCCGCAGACGUGUCUCGGACUCUGAGUAAAAAUCAUAAUUUUACUUAGAAGCCCUGAUUUGUGUAUUAAUUAAAACUCAUAGGAAAAAAUCUAGGUAAAACGUUACGCUCUAAUGUGAACCGAGAUGAUACCACCGAGUUCACAGUGUCCCAAUCCAACUUGUGCGUUUAGUGCAGUCAAUUAGGUGCAAAUUAGAAUAUAAUAUUGAAAUUUAGAUACAAAGUAAAAAAACAUUUUGUCACUCACAGGCAGUUAUUUAUAUAUGUUUCUUUUUCUUUUUUUUUACAAAUCAGGAUCUAUAUUUAAUUAUAAAUGUUUGUCUUCCGGUAGCCAUUUUUAUUGGAAUUGAAAGUAGCGUAGUUUGUAAACUUUGGUAGAUUUUACAUCAUUUUACAAACAAAAUUAGUACGCAUCUAUUUUAUCACAAUAAUUAUUUAAUUAAAAUUUUGUUUAAUACUGAAUAGGGUUGUAACGAUGAUAGAGGAUUCGGGGAAGUAAUUCUGUUUGCAAUGGGCAAUUAGUUGUAUGAGACCGAGUCGUGAAUGAUUACUUUUAAUUUCAUGUGUACAAAGUGAUCACUGCACUGUUAUGCAUGGGCUAGACGAAAAUUAACUGAUUUUUGUCAUUUGUUGAAGAUGAAAGUGAACAGAGGUACGACAUUAGCUUGUGUUCACUCGGUAUAAAUAAAGGUGUAGGAAAAAUCUAAAUGACUCUUUAAUUCAACUUUCAUGGGACUCGUCAAAUUUUCAUGGGACUCAAGCUGCUUACAAACCAUGAUACCGGGACUCGUCUUCAAUAUUUUCUAGUGACAACUCUGAAUCGUGGCCCCCAAGGAUAGGUUUUGGCCACAUUAUAGGGACAAAAGUUUUACAUACAAGUAUAUGGGAAAUCUUUAAAUAUGGACCAAGAUGACUAAGGUGAGCGAUGUGGCCCAUGGACCUCUUGUUUAAUUAUUUGUUUACGUAAGAAAUAGUGCUUUUUAGCUCACCCCAGCCAUAAUUUAAAUGAACUUUUCAAAGUACUUGCUUUGGAAGUUCAUAUAAGUAUUGCUGAAAUUUAUGUAUAUGUAUGUUAAAUAAAUUUUAUUAUCAGAU